GGGGAAUAUUGCACAAUGGGGGAAACCCUGAUGCAGCAACGCCGCGUGAAGGAUGAAGGUUUUCGGAUUGUAAACUUCUUUAGUCAGGGACGAAUAAAUGACGGUACCUGAAGAAUAAGCCACGGCUAACUACGUGCCAGCAGCCGCGGUAAUACGUAGGUGGCAAGCGUUGUCCGGAAUUACUGGGUGUAAAGGGCGUGUAGGCGGGGAUGUAAGUCAGAUGUGAAAUCCCAGAGCUUAACUCUGGAGCUGCAUCUGAAACUAUGUUUCUUGAGUGCCGGAGAGGAAAGCGGAAUUCCUAGUGUAGCGGUGAAAUGCGUAGAUAUUAGGAGGAACACCAGUGGCGAAGGCGGCUUUCUGGACGGUAACUGACGCUGAGGCGCGAAAGCGUGGGGAGCAAAC
rnacentral:rRNA from 1 species